CUUCAGUUCAUUGGGAUCUGACCUACUCUGAAUAACAUGUUUUGAUCCAGCAUGAGCUAAGACAACUUUAAUGAGGUCAGAGGCUUUUUGAAGCAUCCAGAAGACCACAGGAAUUUCGAGAGUGAAGCUGAAUGAAACCAUGGAAAU